rnacentral:rRNA from 1 species
CCAGCGACCGGCGCACGGGUGAGUAACACGUAUGCGACCUGCCCCCCGGCAGGGGGAUAACCGGGAGAAAUCCCGACUAAUACCGCGUAACGCCGCGGACCUGCAUGGGUCUGCGGCCAAAGGAAGCGAUUCCGGCGGGGGAUGGGCAUGCGGCGCAUUAGCUAGUCGGCGGGGUAACGGCCCACCGAGGCGACGAUGCGUAGGGGUUCUGAGAGGAAGGUCCCCCACACUGGUACUGAGACACGGACCAGACUCCUACGGGAGGCAGCAG